AUUGAACGCUGGCGGCAGGCCUAACACAUGCAAGUCGAGCGAGCGGCGGACGGGUGAGUAAUGUCUGGGAAACUGCCUGAUGGAGGGGGAUAACUACUGGAAACGGUAGCUAAUACCGCAUACCAUCAGAUGUGGCCAGAUGGGAUUCGCUAGUAGGUGGGGUGAUGGCUCACCUAGGCGACGAUUCCUAGCUGUUCUGAGAGGAUGACCAGCCACCCUGGAACGGAGACACGGUCCAGACUACUACGGGAGGGAGCAGUGGAGAAUAUAACACAAUUGGCGCAGGCCUGAUGCGACCAUGCCGCGUAUGUGGAAGAAGCCUUCGGGUUGUAAAGCAAAUUCAGCGGGAAGGCUUUACCAGAUGAAGAAGCACCGGCUAACUCCGUGCCAGCAGCCGCGGUAAUUC
rnacentral:rRNA from 1 species